AUUUUUGCGUUUGGAGCAAUGACGCAGCUAGUAAGUUACUGACCAAUGCGCGUCUAUUACUGGUUGAAAACUAUUUUCAAACCCCCUCUUCGGCCUAGGCUUUGUCUAGACCGUAGAGAAUUUCUGGAAGGACUCCCUACGGGG
rnacentral:snRNA from 1 species